UUCAACAACAGAUCCGACACACCCUUCACCAAACAAUUUACCGAUAAACACAGAUCCGACACACCCUUCACCAAACAAUUUACCGAUAAACUUGCAAAAUAAAAAUCAUUGGUCAACCCCUUUGUAUACAGGAACCAACAGACCCACCUUUUGCAUCUCUUCAAAACAAUAACCAAUCACUCACCGUCACACUUCACCAUCCCACCGAUUCACCACCGCAAACAUCAUCUCCGAGCUCCACCGUACACCCUAACCCACCGGCAAACAUCCACCGUCUCCUCACCACACUCUCCGUCUCCGUUCACGGGUCAGCCACUGCCGUUCAACCCACCAUCUUCACCGCCUGUCGUCAUCAUCGUCACCGUUCACCUUCACCGCCUUCCUCAACCAUCCUCUUCAUCGACACCUCCGGCUCACCGCACAACCACCGACGUUCAUCAUCAUAACCAACAUCAACGUACAACAACCACCACAGACCACCACAACCAUUCUAAACACCACCUUCUUCCGUCGAGACUACACCUCCACUAUACAUCCACCUUCGAACCACCAACUCUGCCGUACACCGGAUUCCACCAUAACCACCUCCGCCGUGGAUCUUCAAUAAUUGACAUCGUUGAAGGUUCCGAUUUGGUUGUGCUCGAUUGAUUUAGAGGAUCUGAAAGAAAGUGGUGUUGUGUGAUUUGCUAGGCGGCGGCUGCAACAUAUGUUUUAGGGUUUUGUUGUGUGUUACAUUGAGAGAGAAAAUAGAGAAAGAAAGAAAGAAGUUUGAUUGUUGUUUCUGUGUAUUCGAUGGGAGGGAGAGAGUCAAAGUAGGCAGAAGUCUGUUUGAAUUAUUUUAGAGCUUGGUAGGUAGGUGAGGAUGAUUUAAAAGAAGGAAAAAGUUAAAAUAGCGGCUUCAAAGUUUUUAGGGUUUGAAUUGCUUCAAGUUUUCAUGGGCUAGGGUAUUUGUUGGGCCUACGUCUCAAGUUCAAGAAAGAAAGUGGCUGUUGGAUGCUAGGUGGAAUUGAGUUUUAGGUGCACUUGUAGCUGAACGGGUCUUAAAUUCGUUACAAGUUCGUUUGUGUCCAGAGCGGGCCGGGUAUUUAUCAACUAUUUUAAAAUAUUUGGGCUGGGUAUCAAUACUUUUAAGAAAAAGUUUGGGCCACUUAAUCAAAAUUAAAUUUUUGGGCCGGAAUUUGUUAGUUUAAAAUUGUAAACUAAGUUGGUUGGAGUUCGAUUUGGGCUGUAAUUGAAUGUGUGGCUAAAAAGGAGUUAUUA
rnacentral:lncRNA from 1 species